rnacentral:antisense_RNA from 1 species
AGUCGCCAGGCACCGGCCACGGCGCACGCCAACAUUCAGGAUAAUUCUCCUUUCCAAGCCCCGGAGUUCCGGGGCAGGCGAAAAAGGGGGGAUGGGAGACCUACAGUCCCUUUAACCCUCCCCCCUGGCCUGCCAACCUUUUCCGAACCCCCAUGUCACACAACUUCCUCAUCAUGGAAACUUCCACUGGGUUCGGCGCUGAGGAUGCCAAACUCCAUUUCACAAGGAACAUGUCAACAGCUGGGCUUGGGGUUUGAGGAACAGAGCCGCUGCGAUUGGAACAGAGCCCGGCCACCCUGUUCCACCACUGUCCACGCCGUAGCUCCCAGCCUGCCGCCGCGCGGUGCCCGAACACGGGAGGGCACCUCCUCCCAGAUCCGGGGCGCAGAAGCCCCGCGGAGGCAGGUAGAAGAUUCUGAGGCCCUGGGCGGGAACUAGUAAGCCACAAUCUGGAAGAGUCUUUUAUCACCAUGUGGAGACCUAGAGCAUUCAUGUUGAACUAUUACUGAGAUAAGCAAUCAACUUCUUUUGUGUUAAGUCACUGAAAGGCAAGUGUUAAUUUGUUGCAGUAAUUGGUGCUCCCUUAACACACCUGUCAGCCAGGCCAAACUCUAUCACAGCAUAAAUAAUCUUUUCCUUAAAUAAAUACAGGUAAGAGGAUAAAAUAGACCUAAGUGCAUUAAUAUGAAUAUAGGCUCAAAGCAAAAUGUUGGGCUGAAAAUGUUCAGAGUGAUAAUUUUUUAAGUUGAUGUGCAAUUUAUGUACAGUAAAAUAGAUAAAACCUAAAUGUUCAGUUCAAUGAAUUUUUACAUGUUCAUACCCCUGUAUAAUCACCUCCCAGAACAACAUAGAAAAUACUUCAUAUAAAUGGAAUCAUACAGUGUGUUUUCUCUUGUGUCUGGUUUCUUUCACUCAGUGUUUUUGAGGUGAAUCCACAUUAUUGUGUAGAUUAGAAAGUUGUUCUCUUAAAAUUUCUGUUUGACAUUACGUUAUAUGAAUAUGCCACAAUUUGUUUAUUCAUUCUCCAAUUGAUGGACAUUUGGGUUGUUUCCAAUUUGGGACUAUGACAAAUGAAGCAGCUAUGAACAUUCUUGAACAAUUAUUUUUGUGGUACAUGCACUCAUAUCUCCUGGGCAUAUGCAUAGGAGUGAAAUUGAUGGUCAUAUAUUUAUCUGAGUUAUUCUAUUAAAGCUCAAAGUGAUCAAUAUUCAAAA